GGGAAUGGCUAUGGCUUAGUGGUAGAACAUCUGCUUGGCAUGCAGAAGGUCCUAGGUUCAAAAUCUGCCACCUCCA
rnacentral:tRNA from 1 species